rnacentral:rRNA from 1 species
GAUGAGUGGCGAACGGGUGAGUAACACGUGAGUAACCUGCCCCCUUCUUCUGGAUAACCGCAUGAAAGUGUGGCUAAUACGGGAUAUUCUGUGNCUGNNGCAUGGUGGGNNUGGGAAAGAUGCGCCUUUGGGUGUUUUUGGUGGGGGAUGGGCUCGCGGCCUAUCAGCUUGUUGGUGGGGUGAUGGCCUACCAAGGCGGUGACGGGUAGCCGGCCUGAGAGGGUGGACGGUCACACUGGGACUGAGACACGGCCCAGACUCCUACGGGAGGCAGCAGUGGGGAAUAUUGCACAAUGGGCGCAAGCCUGAUGCAGCGACGCCGCGUGAGGGAUGGAGGCCUUCGGGUUGUAAACCUCUUUCGCCAGUGAAGCAGGCCUGUCCCUUUUGUGGGUGGGUUGACGGUAGCUGGAUAAGAAGCGCCGGCUAACUACGUGCCAGCAGCCGCGGUAAUACGUAGGGCGCGAGCGUUGUCCGGAAUUAUUGGGCGUAAAGAGCUCGUAGGCGGCUGGUCGCGUCUGUCGUGAAAUCCUCUGGCUUAACUGGGGGCUUGCGGUGGGUACGGGCCGGCUUGAGUGCGGUAGGGGAGACUGGAACUCCUGGUGUAGCGGUGGAAUGCGCAGAUAUCAGGAAGAACACCGGUGGCGAAGGCGGGUCUCUGGGCCGUUACUGACGCUGAGGAGCGAAAGCGUGGGGAGCGAACAGGAUUAGAUACCCUGGUAGUCCACGCCGUAAACNUUGGGCACUAGGUGUGGGGGGCCUUUUCCGGGUCUUCCGCGCCGUAGCUAACGCAUUAAGUGCCCCGCCUGGGGAGUACGGCCGCAAGGCUAAAACUCAAAGGAAUUGACGGGGGCCCGCACAAGCGGCGGAGCAUGCGGAUUAAUUCGAUGCAACGCGAAGAACCUUACCAAGGCUUGACAUGUGCCGGUCGGCUCCGGAGACGGGUUUCCUCCUUGUGGGGCCGGUUCACAGGUGGUGCAUGGUUGUCGUCAGCUCGUGUCGUGAGAUGUUGGGUUAAGUCCCGCAACGAGCGCAACCCUUGUCCCGUGUUGCCAGCACGUUGUGGUGGGGACUCGCGGGAGACUGCCGGGGUCAACUCGGAGGAAGGUGGGGAUGACGUCAAAUCAUCAUGCCCCUUAUGUCUUGGGCUUCACGCAUGCUACAAUGGCCGGUACAGAGGGCUGCGAUACCGUGAGGUGGAGCGAAUCCCUUAAAGCCGGUCUCAGUUCGGAUCGGUGUCUGCAACUCGACACCGUGAAGUUGGAGUCGCUAGUAAUCGCAGAUCAGCAACGCUGCGGUGAAUACGUUCUCGGGCCUUGUACACACCGCCCGUCACGUCAUGAAAGUCGGCAACACCCGAAGCCCGU